AUGGCCGGAUCUCAAAAGAAAAUGAGACGCACCAUCGCCGCCGACCGCCUCUUCUCGCUAGCCGACGAUCUCCUCGAGCACAUCCUCUCCUUCGCGCCGGCGAAGGAGGCCGCGCCAGCGCCGCCCUCUCGCGCUGAUGGCGCCCGCUGUGGCGCCGCGCGAGCGCCCUCAACCUCGAGCCCUACUCAUCUGGCGGGUAUCACCAUCCCGACGCCGGCUUCGACGCCUUCUUCCGCGACGGCAAGGCCGUCCUCGCCAGCCGCCGCGGAACGGCGCUCAGGCGGCUCACGGUCCUCCUCAAGCAAGGCGCCUACCUCACCAGCCGCGGCUCGUACUACAGGGUGCACGACGUUGAACCGGAGUCCGACGCCCGGGUCGCCGGCCUCCUCGCCGACCCCGCGGCCGCCGCGCUGGAGGAGCUCUGCAUCGCCGGCGAGCGUGCCUACACUCCCUACAUCGGACGGUACGUCCCGCCGCUGGCAUCCCUGCCUUGCGCCGCCGCCACGCUCCGGGUGCUGGAGCUCCAUCUCUGCAGCCUCCAGCCGCCGCCGACGUCGUCCGCGCGCCUCGCUUUCCCGCGCCUCACGGAUCUAUCGCUGCGCGAUUGCACUUACUUGGAGGGGUAUCUCCAGGCUGUGA
rnacentral:rRNA from 1 species